GAUGAAGAACGUAGCGAAUUGCGAUAUGUUAAUGUGAAACGCAGAACAGUGAAUCAUCGAAACUUUGAACGCACCUUGCGCCCUUUGGCCAUUCCGAAGGGCAUGCCUGUUUGAGUAUCAUGAACACCUCAACUCUUUAUGGUUUUCCAUGAUGAGCUUGGACUCUGGGGGUUUUGCUGGCUCACAGUCGGCUCCUCUAAAAUGAAUCAGCUUACCAGUGUUUGGUGGGUAUCAUGGGUGUGAUAACUAUCUACGCUUGUGGUUUUUCCACCAGGUAACCUUCAGCAGUGGAGGUUCGCUGGAGCUCAUAGAUGUCUCUCCUCAGUGAGGACAGCCCUUUGAAUGUUUGAUCUCAAAUCAGGUAGGACUACCCGCUGAACUUAAGCAUAUCAAUAAGCGGAGGA
rnacentral:misc_RNA from 1 species